UGGUCCUGCCUUUCAUUUUGGAGCUGGGGCUCCUCCUGUGCUCUUUCCCAAUGUGGAGGCUGCAGGUGCUGCUUCUCCUCUCUGCUCUCAGCUCAUUCCUGUGUUGAAGGCUUGAGCACAAACCAUGGAUGGAGCAGAGGAUGGCAGAGCAGGAGCUUGUCCAGGCGGGGAUUCAUCAGUUCUGGGAGGCAGCAAGAACCAGCAUCAGCAAAUUGCUCCACUGAUCUUGGCUGAGAAAUGGGAGUUUUGGGUCUAAGGCUAUGGCUAGUGGUCAGAUAAUGUCAUUUUUUCUUUGGUUUUUUUUUUCCUCUUAAACUUGUAGAAAUGGGCCAGUUCAAUCUGCCAAGCAUCUGCUGCCAUGCCUGCUACCUAAAACCACCUUUCUUUCCGUGCUCCAGUGUGAAUCCAGUUCCCUUAAGCAGGGCUCGCACAGUAAUUAGGUGAAUUUUCCAGGCAGCCAUAAAUUGGGGUCACGGCUGCUUUAUUUAGCAGUGGUGUCACUCUGAUGAUCCAUGGUCACGUAGUAAUGGGCUAGGAUUUUUCCUCCUUCAUAGUUUCCAAAUUAAGGAGCUGUUCACCUGGUGGGACUGUGGAUUUUACCCAGUUAUAUGGCUGCAUGUCUGCUACUGUUGAAAUUCAACCCACUUUUAUUAUUUAAGUAUCUUUUUUAAGUUCUUUUUGUACAUUUUCCUGAUUCUCCUUUCCUAACUCAGUUUUACCAAAAGCCAUAAACAAAAGCCAGGAUUACCAGUGGGGAGAAAAACCACCAAAACUUACCCCAACCUGACAAAUUUGUAGUUCUUAGCGUCUAAACAUAUCCACCAACCAAGACCACAACUAGUUACAUGUGAAGAACUUAGUGCAGCCCAUAUGUUGAAAAAACUUGGAUUUUUACAUUUUUCUCUUUUAGCAAGAUUUAAAACUGUCCCAGGGUACAUGGGUGGAUUUAAAAAGUGGAUGGUGAGGUCUGCUUGGAGGUGUUGCAGCUCAUUGGAAAUACUCUGCUCAGUGAGUUUUCAUUGUUGAGUGGCGCUGAGUGAAUAGUGAACAUGCUAAAAGAAAGAGGCAGUGAGAAAAUACUGCAGUUCUUCAUGUUGUAAUUGUGUGGUGUUUACAUGAAGCUGUGAGGUCACCGGCUUCCGGUACGAGCCGCUUCCUGAAAACCUUCUACACGAACUUGUACAGCAGUGCAGGAUAGUGGUCCCCUGGAAUGGAGGGUGAUGCUGCAGGAGGCACGGGAUGUGCUGGAGAAGGUACCACAGGAGAAAUUGGGUUCACAAAACCCAAAGCAGGCAGUGGGAGCGUGGAAACAAACAGUCUGACGUGUAGAAAGUAUUGAUAGUCUCAGGCUUUAGCAAACUGUGAGUCAUGCUUUGGCAAGUGAUGCAGUCAGGUUUGAAAUAACGAGGUAAAACCAGCAUCAGCAAAAUUGCUGCAUGUUCCUAUUUUCCUGUUGAGUUUCAAGUAUGUAAAAGCAAUUAGUUAUUUACAAAACCUGUUGAAAUUAAAUAAUUCUAUUUUUUUAAUACAAAGUUCUCAUACUGUUGGUGGCUUCUAAACUUGUAUGUUUGGAAAUCAUAGAAUUAUUAGGCUUGGAAAAGCCCUCUAAGAUCAUGAAACACAACCAUUCCCUCAGCACUUGAGAAAAACAGGUUCCUAAAUGCCAUAUCUUCAUGUCCUUUAAAUUCCUGCACGGAUGGGGACUCUAAUAUGUCCUGGGUAACCUGUUAUAAUCCUUAACAACCCUUUAUGUGAAGAAAUUUUCCAUAAUAUCCAGCCUAAACCUCCCCUGGUGGAACUUGCAGCAGUUUCUUCUUGUCCUGUCUCUUGUUGCUCAGGAGAUGGAAGUAGCCAUCAAAUUUCUGUAAGACAUGAAGGAUUUGGCAAUAAUAAAAAAACCCCAAGCAUAUAUAUGUGUGUGUGAUAAAGGAAACAGGCAGCCAAGUUUUAUUACUCAUCACAUAGAACACAGUUUUGGAUUGUAUGACAUUUAUAAUGUAAAAGAGAUGAUUCCAACCAAAAUGUGUUCUUUGAAGUGAAACAUGGUCCUCACAAAGCAAUGUAAAUUAACUAAACUGUGGCAGGUCAGCAUGUGUGGGAACCAGGAAAGAUGAAAAGUGUGUCUGAAGAAAGAAUUAGAAUUCUGAAGUAGUUUUAAUAGAGUUAUGCCUGUGUUUUUAAUUUUUUUAACCAUAUUAGAAGAACUGACAUAUUUUAAAAGUGUAUGUAUUUUUUACAAUAACAGUAUAAUCCUAAAAUGCCUGGAUGAAAAGUUUGAGUUGAAUAUUUUUUCUAUUUUGUGGGGAUUUUAUUCUUCAUAGCAAUUAGCUAAAAUAUUACUUAAGGCUAAUACCUAACCUAGCAGAGUAAAGACUAGCUAGAACAUCUUUAAAGGAGUGCUUUUAUUUAUAGAUGAUCUGAGUGUUGCAGUGUAUGAAAAUACAGACAUUCUGCUGUGAAAAUGAGUGUUUGAACAUCAUGUGUCAGUUUGAAGGUUGAAGAUAAAUGUGAAUUUCCAGGGUUAGUAAUACACUCAUUAAUACCAAAUCAGGGGUUUUUUUUAAUGACCAUGCACAAUAUACUGAAACUUGCCAGACUUCACAGAAGUAAUAGCAAUGGGAAAUUCUUAAAUACAAAUAGUUCUUAACUUUACAAGCAAUUUUAACAAUACUGUGGUUUUAGUCAGUCAUCAUGCUGUUUUAUAACAGCUGUAAACUCUAUUUCCAGAAAGACACGCUGCCUGUCAACCUAAAGUUGGCAACAUUCCUGUGAAUUUCCAUGGUAAUUUUAUUGGUAAUUAGCAUUUGUCAAUAGCUGGUCUGUCAUAACCCUUACGCAUCUCAAACGUCUUCUGCCUGUGUAGCAGUGAAAUUCUUAAAAUUCAGCUUUGUGGCUUUUGUCACUCCUGCGAGAAGAACCAGGGGUUUAAACUCCCUCAGUGUGGUGAUGUUCACUGUUCUGUUGAUAUUGAUAUUGUAGCAUUUUUUUUUCCUUUCAUUGUCUGGGUUUUAAACUUGUGGCUGUGGCACCAACAUCCUCAUCUUCUAGUGUGUAUUUUCUUUUAUUCUGGGUCUUGAGGAGGAUGCAGUGUGGUCAUAAGAAUUGCAGGUUGUCCCAAAAAGUUCUAGUGGCUUGAGCAAGUCAAGGUGAACUUUCAGUCUGGUAGAGCCCUUGAUGAUUUUUGCAUUUCUCUGUAGGUUGGUGUUGUCAUUCAUCUGAAAUAAUCUGGGAAUAUGUCGUUAAUUGUUUUUUGUCAGUUCUUGGGUGAGUGCAUGACCACCUGACAGGUGGGAAAAAAAAACCUCAGGUAAAGUUCUGUUUUGGAUGAAAUGCAAUAACCUGUGAUAGAAAAGGGUUCAGAUAAAAUGACCUAAAGCCUUUGGCCUCCAGAGCUGUAGUCCAGCUUUGUUGUAGAAAUGAAGUUCAUGAAUCUUCAGUAAUGAUCACACUGGAGGAACAUUCGUGUUUAUUCACAUUUUAAAAGGUUCGUCUUUGGGUGAAACUGGCACAUAGACUUAGCUGAAUAUUGUUUUGGGGUCACUUGGUUUUCUAUGUUGCUUAAGAUGCUAAACUUUUAAGUACUUUGCACUUUGUGUGUUCUUCUGAAACAUUAAAUUGUUUUAUUGGUUUUACAUUUGCUGUGCAGUAGUUACUAGUUAUCUUUGCAUCUUGAUUUUAUCCCCUGUGAAUCCCUAGUGCUGAGCUUGUGGGAGCUUUAUUUGGCUGAGUAACAGUGAGCAGUAUGUGGCUUGGCAGCUGGAAUUUCCCAAAAUCAAAGCGAAAUGAAGGAAAUUAAGAGUUAAAGCAAGGACAGGAGCUUGCAGCAGCAGAUCAGUGCAGUUUCAGAUACUUAUCACUAGGAGGACACACAGACCGUGAUAUUAAGGAACUAAUUGUUUAUCUUUUCCUAUUAACUGGUUUGGUACUGAAGAAUUCUGUCUUGAAUGGGUGCCAUAUAGUAAUGUGUUAAUUAAGAUACUUGAUUUUACUAGAAAUUAAAAGAGAGGGUUGUGUAAUGGACAAAACCAGAGUGUGAUGACAUGAGGAAAUCUCCCGGGGAUUACUUUGUUGGUGAAGCAGAACACGGAUUCUCGAGGGCGUUCGUCCGCCAGAAAUAGGUGACAUUUAGGUAGAAGUGAUCCCUUUUUUUACCAUUUACUUUACAGCUUUGUGUUGCAAGGAAUUCUUACGCCUUUGUGUGAAAUGUUUGUGGUGUUUCCUGCUGGUCAGGACACUGUGUGACGUGGAUCAGUGGCUGGGAUUUGAUGCGGCGUUGGCUGUAAUCUUCAUUUAAUCUGUUUGUUGGUGUUUCACAGUGUUUGCAAAUAGCUUUUCUUUUACUUGUCUAUAUGUGUUUACUUAGAUUCUGAUGUACAGUGUCUGUGUCAGGUUGAGUAAUAUGGAAAUUAGUCUAAUUGAUUUAAAUAGUUUGUAGACUGCCCAUGUUGCUGAGGCAAGC